AAGAUGGAAUUGAUUUAUGUGGUGAUUGUGCAGUAGCACAAUUAGAAGCUGAAAAACCACUGCACGAUACAUUACAUAGAUUACUUCCUAUUAA